UCAGAUAGACUGUUGUGUUAAUCGAGUUCUCAUGUUUGAGUCGCCCUUAUUUUACUGAACGAUGGCCCCAAAGUGCGAGAGCAGUGAUCCUGGCAACUCGGAUGUGUCACAGAGAAGGCCUAAAGUGCCUCCUUUAACUGAAAAGACUAAGAGGAGCCGGCUGGUGACAUGUUUUGUAGCUUCAUUUGGUCUGGUGGCCAUUGGUCAGCUCAGAACACUGUGAAACCCAAGCCCUGUGCUUUGUACCUCCCUCGAAGUCACCCAAGACUGAAUUUACAUCACGUGGCCUGGCAGCCAACCCGGGACAGAAUGCCGAAUAGAGACCCCCGUGAGAAACUUCUGGAUUUCACUUUCAGCUCAGGAGUUGCUGCUACUUGAAGUCUACUGCCGUCCAGGGCGCUCUGGUUUCACUUGGCCAGCAAAGAUUUUAUUUCAGGCCCAGACAUAGAACCUAAGAGGGUAGAAGGUCGAUUUUCCUCUUCUGCAAUACACAUACAAAUCUGCUCAAAUCCAGAAGUGUCCAAUCGUUGUUCUAGCAACUGAUCACAAGGGAGACUGAUAACAGAGUGGCAGGCGGCCGACCACCUGGAGGAAGAAAGCUUUGUCUUCCUUCCUCCACCUGUCUCACCGUGUACCAUCUUAGAACAAAUAACUACAUUUUUAUGUUUAUAGCUUCUGUAGUUUAGUAUUUAUUAUAAAGUCAAACACUUAGCUCUGAGCUCCAGCCAGGCGGAAGAAGAGAAAAUUAUAGCAUGUGACAGUACAGGGUAUGAAAGUUGACUAGAGUUGGUUGCCUCUUGCUGCAAAGAGAAAUUGGAGGGAUUGAUAAAAACUUAACAGAAAGCACUAGAGCAAUGGACCGCAGUCAGCAGUGGUAUCUUCUCAGAGAUCCUGACUUCAUGAAGCAAAGAAAGACCUCGUUUCAUGAUACAGGUGCCUCUGUGCCCUGCCAGAAGGUCACAUGCUUACCAGUCAGUCUCAGAAGAACAGGUUAGAGAUAAACAUUGAGAGCCACCUGUAGGGCUGGGCUUCAGGAGGAGCAUUCACCUGGAAACUUCCUUCUGAACACGGACUUGUCAUCUGUGCCACCUGGGCUCACAGUGUUACCAUAAGAGCACCUCCAGAAGAAAUAAGCGUGUAAAACAGGUAACGAAAUCUCUUCUGGUGCUCGGAGUAGAAACAAAACAGAACAAACCCUUGUUCCGAAAGGCUUAAGCGGGAUAUGGCUCAGGGACCCACUUUAAGGGAUGAUGUGAAGGAACGUGGCUGGAAGGGAGGCGGGAUGGCUCUCUGUCAUCUUGUGCUGAGGAAUGAAGCUGUUUCCUCCUGAGACCAGAGGUCUGAUCCACCCACCCAAUACGCGGGAUGGCAGAGCUUUUUAUAGACUCAGAAAUGUGUGUCCUCAGAAAUCUUAGAUUCUCAGAGACUCUUAGAAAGCCGUUAGGAAGUAAGUGUCCCUGGCUCAUCAUCAACCUGUUAUCCCCAAUCAUCUAGAGAGUCCUGGGAACAAGGACAAUCAAAAACCAGAGAAAACGACCAGGGGAAGCAGAGCUGGGAAAAUUAAGCUAUUUGGUUAUGAACUUCAAAUGAUUUCUCCUAACAGACUUGCCUUUGUUCCUUAAGGUAGUUUUGUGUUAAACUUGGUAGCUGUGAUUUUUUUCUUUGUGAA